AGUGAACGCUGGCGGUAGGCCUAACACAUGCAAGUCGAACGGCAGCACAGUAAGAGCUUGCUCUUACGGGUGGCGAGUGGCGGACGGGUGAGGAAUACAUCGGAAUCUACUUUUUCGUGGGGGAUAACGUAGGGAAACUUACGCUAAUACCGCAUACGACCUACGGGUGAAAGCAGGGGAUCUUCGGACCUUGCGCGAUUGAAUGAGCCGAUGUCGGAUUAGCUAGUUGGCGGGGUAAAGGCCCACCAAGGCGACGAUCCGUAGCUGGUCUGAGAGGAUGGUCGGCGACACUGGAACUGAGACACGGUCCAGACUCCUACGGGAGGCAGCAGUGGGGAAUAGUGGACAAUGGGCGCAAGCCUGAUCCAGCCAGACCGCGUGGGUGAAGAAGGCCUUCGGGUUGUAAAGCCCUUUUGUUGGGAAAGAAAAGCAGCAGGUUAAUACCCCGCUGUUCUGACGGUACCCAAAGAAUAAGCACCGGCUAACUUCGUG
rnacentral:rRNA from 1 species